rnacentral:rRNA from 1 species
AGAGUUUAAUCCUAGCUCAGAAUAAACGCUGGCGGCAUGCUUAAGACAUGCAAGUCGGAUGGGAAGUGGUGUUUCCAGUGCACACGGGUGAGUAACGCGUAAGAACCUGCCCUUGGGAGGGGAACAACAACUGGAAACAACUGCUAAUACCCCGUAGGAUAAGGAGCAAAAGAAGGAAUCCGCCUGAGGAGGGGCUUGCGUCUGAUUAGCUAGUUGGUGAGGCAAUAGCUUACCAAGGUGAUGAUCAGUAGCUGGUCCGAGAGGAUGAUCAGCCAUACUGGGACUAAGACACGGCCCAGACUCCUACGGGAGACAGCAGUGGAGAAUUUUCCUCAAUAGGCGAAAGCCUGACAGAGCAAUGCCGCGUGGAGGUAGAAGGUCCACGGGUCGUGAACUUCUUUUCCCAGAGAAGAAGCAAUGACAGUAACUGGGGAAUAAGCAUCGGCUAACUUUGUGCCAGUAGCCAUGGUAAGACAGAGGAUGCAAGCGUUAUCCGGAAUGAUUGGGCGUAAACUGUCUCUAGGUGGCUUUUUAAGUCUGCCGUCAAAUCCCAAGGCUCAACCCUGGAUAGGCGGUGGAAACUACCAAGCUAGAGUAUGGUAGGGGCAGAGGGAAUUUCAGGUGGAGUGGUGAAAUGCGUUGAGAUCGAAAAGAACACCAACGGCGAAAGCACUCUGCUGGGCCGACACUGACACUGAGAGACGAAAGCUAGGGGAGCGAAUGGAAUUAGAUACCCCAGUAGUGAUAGACGUAAACGAUGGAUAAUAGGCGUUAUGCGUAUCGACCCGUACAGUGCUAUAGCUAACGCGUUAAGUAUCCCACCUGAGGAGUACGUUCCAUGAAUGAAAGAGAGGGGUGCCUUGGGAACGUUGAUACAGGUGGUGCAUGGUUGUCGUCAGCUCGUGCCGUAAGGUGUUGGGUUAAGUCCCGCAAUGAGCGCAACCCUCAUGUUUAGUUUCCAUAGUUGAAUUUGGAACCCUGAACAGACUGCCUGUGAUAAGCCGGAGAAAGGUGAGGAUGACGUCAAGUCAUCAUGCCCCUUAUGCCCUGGGCGAAACACGUGCUACAAUGGCCAAGACAAAGGGUCACGAUCCCGCGAGGGUAAGCUAACCCCAAGGCAGGGCAUUGUUCCUUAGAGUUUACAUUCCAUAGUGAGGAGGGGAAAUGUUACGUAGGAGAGCUUUAGCUCCGGCUUACCUCUUUCUUAUUC